rnacentral:miRNA from 1 species
CGUAGGUGCUGAGCGUCAUUUU